rnacentral:rRNA from 1 species
AUACGGAGGAUGCGAGCGUUAUCCGGAUUUAUUGGGUUUAAAGGGAGCGUAGGUGGGAUAUUAAGUCAGCUGUGAAAGUUUGGGGCUCAACCUUAAAAUUGCAGUUGAUACUGGUUUCCUUGAGUACGGUAUAGGUGGGCGGCAUUCGUGGUGUAGCGGUGAAAUGCUUAGAUAUAACGAAGAACUCCGAUCGCGAAGGCAGCUCACCGGGCCGGAACUGACACUGAUGCUCGAAAGUGCGGGUAUCAAACAGGAUUAGAUACCCUGGUAGUCCGCACAGUAAACGAUGAAUACUCGCUGUUUGCGAUACACUGUAAGCGGCCAAGCGAAAGCGUUAAGUAUUCCACCUGGGGAGUACGCCGGCAACGGUGAAACUCAAAGGAAUUGACGGGG